CGAGGGACUCCGGACCACAGAGGAAACACACACACACACACACACACACACAGCCGGGCACACUGAUUUGAUUGUGUUGACUCUAUAAGGGGAGAACUAAAGUUAAGUGCAGGAGCGCCAUUCCUUAGUUUCGGUUCAAUUUGAAAUUUAUUGCGGCCGGAGUUCAUUCACUUGGCAAGUUAAGGCUCCGAGUACAUGACUCAUUCACAGGGACACAUACACGCCCUCCAUUUGCCAUUUUCCAUUCUCCAUUUGCUCAUUUUGGCCUAGGGACUAGCCAGACAUUUUCCAAAUUCUGAAAUGCAAACCGAGUCACACAUGUCAAUUCAAUUUGAUCAGAGGACCAUGACGGAUGGAGGCCUAGCCUGAGCUCAAGUUGAGCCGUUGUAUCCACUGGGGACAACACAACUCGGUACGAUACUCGGCAGAAGCAGAAGCGGGGGGCUGAGUUGGGGAAAAUAAAAAUGUCUCGCUUUCAUUCAUGCUGAUUGACAGACAGACAGACAUACG
rnacentral:lncRNA from 1 species